CCCUGCACUUGGACCCAGACCCCGUUCCUUCCGCACCGUGACAGAGGGUUAAUUAAGUGAUUGAUGGCUGUUCAUGUCCAUGCAAUUUCAGCUCUGGACCUCAGGAAUACAAGAUGCACAGACGUUACCAUCAGAGCCUCUCUGAAAUCUGAAGUCUCUCUCCCAUGUCACUUUAAUAUAAGCCAUUACAAUAAAACAGAGGAAAUAAAAUGGAGCCACCAUUCCAGUCUUGUAACGAUCAAAAACAAUGGCAUUAUCUACUUCCAUAAUCCUAGUGAAGGACGAGUGAGCUCUUUUCCUAAUCUGGCCAGGGGAGGAAACUUCUCCAUCCUCAUCCAUGAUCUGCAGUCUUCAGACAUCGGCACCUACUUUUGUGAGCUGAACAGUGAAUGCUGGAGGGUGAAGAUCAUGGAAUUGCCAGAAAAAACUGAACAGCUGAACUCUAAUCACAACUCCUGGUUAUACUUUUUUGCUGGAGCUGGAAUUUUCACUCUUCUUUUUGUUAUAUUCAAUCGCAUUGGCUUACAAAACUGUUUACAGUCUUCAACAGAAAAGUGCAUGAGAUCAUCCAAAUCUAGCUCUACGAAAGAAGAAUGCCAUGAAG